rnacentral:rRNA from 1 species
AGUGAACGCUGGCGGUAGGCCUAACACAUGCAAGUCGAACGGCAGCACAGUAAGAGCUUGCUCUUACGGGUGGCGAGUGGCGGACGGGUGAGGAAUACAUCGGAAUCUACUUUUUCGUGGGGGAUAACGUAGGGAAACUUACGCUAAUACCGCAUACGACCUACGGGUGAAAGCAGGGGAUCUUCGGACCUUGCGCGAUUGAAUGAGCCGAUGUCGGAUUAGCUAGUUGGCGGGGUAAAGGCCCACCAAGGCGACGAUCCGUAGCUGGUCUGAGAGGAUGAUCAGCCACACUGGAACUGAGACAAGGUCCAGACUACUACGGGAGGCAGCAGUGGGGAAUAGUGGACAAUGGGCGCAAGCCUGAUCCAGCCAUACCGCGUGGGUGAAGAAGGCCUUCGGGUUGUAAAGCCAUUUUGUUGGGAAAGAAAAGCAGCAGGUUAAUACCCCGCUGUUCUGACGGUACCCAAAGAAUAAGCACCGGCUAACUUCGUG